GAAAUGCGAUACGUCAUGCGAAUUGCAGAACUUGUGAGUCAUCAAAAUUUUGAACGCAACUUGCACUUCCCCUCGGGGGAGUAUGUCUGUUGGAGUGUCUGUUCAUCCCCACUUCCGCACUCUACUCUGGUAGUCUGUGCAGAAGCGUCGGCCGCUUGUCUCUCUCCCUCGUGGGAAAGUCAAUUGAGCCUAGAUGAAAGACCAUCGAUCAAACGAACUCGCCCCCGCUUCACCUGUCUCUUUUGACAGGUUAGCUCGGUCGACGCGACGUGAAAGAAGUUCCUCCUCGUGGGGAUAUUUCCCAAACCACGCGUCUUCAUUCCAAACGAGCUGUGUGAGCCUCGGCAACCAAAGAGUUCAUCCGACCGGACCUCCAAUCAGACAAGAUUACCCGCUGAAU
rnacentral:misc_RNA from 1 species